rnacentral:tRNA from 1 species
GACCGCGUAGCUCAGUUGGCAGAGCAUUGGGCUAGUAUUCCAAACGUCGUAGGUUCGAUUCCCACCGUGGUCA